rnacentral:tRNA from 1 species
GCCCAGCUGGCUCAGUUGGAGGAGCAUGCGACUCUCGAUCUCGGGGUCGUGAGUUCGAGCCCCAUGUUGGGCG